rnacentral:rRNA from 1 species
CAUGCAAGUCGAACGCGUUGGCCCAACUGAUUGAACGUGCUUGCACGGACUUGACGUUGGUUUACCAGCGAGUGGCGGACGGGUGAGUAACACGUAGGUAACCUGCCCCAAAGCGGGGGAUAACAUUUGGAAACAGAUGCUAAUACCGCAUAACAAUUUGAAUCGCAUGAUUCAAAUUUAAAAGAUGGCUUCGGCUAUCACUUUGGGAUGGACCUGCGGCGCAUUAGCUUGUUGGUAGGGUAACGGCCUACCAAGGCUGUGAUGCGUAGCCGAGUUGAGAGACUGAUCGGCCACAAUGGAACUGAGACACGGUCCAUACUCCUACGGGAGGCAGCAGUAGGGAAUCUUCCACAAUGGGCGCAAGCCUGAUGGAGCAACACCGCGUGAGUGAAGAAGGGUUUCGGCUCGUAAAGCUCUGUUGUUAGAGAAAAACGUGCGUGAGAGCAACUGUUCACGCAGUGACGGUAUCUAACCAGAAAGUCACGGCUAACUACGUGCCAGCAGCCGCGGUAAUACGUAGGUGGCAAGCGUUAUCCGGAUUUAUUGGGCGUAAAGCGAGCGCAGGCGGUUUGAUAAGUCUGAUGUGAAAGCCUUUGGCUUAACCAAAGAAGUGCAUCGGAAACUGUCAGACUUGAGUGCAGAAGAGGACAGUGGAACUCCAUGUGUAGCGGUGGAAUGCGUAGAUAUAUGGAAGAACACCAGUGGCGAAGGCGGCUGUCUGGUCUGCAACUGACGCUGAGGCUCGAAAGCAUGGGUAGCGAACAGGAUUAGAUACCCUGGUAGUCCAUGCCGUAAACGAUGAGUGCUAGGUGUUGGAGGGUUUCCGCCCUUCAGUGCCGCAGCUAACGCAUUAGCACUCCGCCUGGGGAGUACGACCGCAAGGUUGAAACUCAAAGGAAUUGACGGGGGCCCGCACAAGCGGUGAGCAUGUGGUUUAUUUCGAAGCUACGCGAAGAACCCUUACCAGGUCUUGACAUCUUGCGCCAACCCUAGAGAUAGGGCGUUUCCCUUCGGGAACGC